rnacentral:pre_miRNA from 17 species
UGUAGCCGUUAACCCAUGUGACUUGUGGGCUUCCCUUUGUCAUCCUAUGCCUGGGAAUAUAUGAAGGGGCUGGGAAUGCAAAGGGAUGUUCAACAGUUACCAGCGGCAUCCUAUUGACC